rnacentral:tRNA from 1 species
GCUUAAAUAGCUUAUACUCAUAGAGCAUGGCACUGAAGAUGCCAAGGAGGCGGUUAGCGCCUUUGAGCA